rnacentral:pre_miRNA from 13 species
AAGUCAGUCGACGUGGCUCCUGUGGCCCCAGAAAUCAAGGAUGGGUGAGACCUCUUGCACAAGUGGAAGGCGACCCAUACUUGGUUUCAGGGGCUUCCGGAAUGCAUCCCGUUUAGGACU